CCUACGGUGUGCUGCAGUGGGGAAUAUUGGACAAUGGGCGAAAGCCUGAUCCAGCCAUGCCGCGUGUGUGAAGAAGGCCUUCGGGUUGUAAAGCACUUUCAGUGGGGAAGAAAGCCUUGGGGCUAAUACCCUCGAGGAAGGACAUCACCCACAGAAGAAGCACCGGCUAACUCCGUGCCAGCAGCCGCGGUAAUACGGAGGGUGCGAGCGUUAAUCGGAAUUACUUGGCGUAAAGCGCGCGUAGGCGUUCUUAUAAGCCGGUUGUGAAAGCCCCGGGCUCAACCUGGGAACGGCAUCCGGAACUGUCAGGCUAGAGUGCAGGAGAGGAAGGUAGAAGUCCCGGUGUAGCGGGGAAAUGCGUAGAGAUCGGGAGGAAUACCAGUGGCGAAGGCGGCCUUCUGGACUGACACUGACGCUGAGGUGCGAAAGCGUGGGUAGCAAACAGGAUUAGAUACCCCGGUAGUC
rnacentral:rRNA from 1 species